rnacentral:rRNA from 1 species
GACGAACGCUGGCGGCGUGCUUAACACAUGCAAGUCGAACGGAAAGGCCCUGCUUUUGUGGGGUGCUCGAGUGGCGAACGGGUGAGUAACACGUGAGUAACCUGCCCUUGACUUUGGGAUAACUUCAGGAAACUGGGGCUAAUACCGGAUAGGAGUUCCUGCUGCAUGGUGGGGGUUGGAAAGUUUCGGCGGUAGGGGAUGGACUCGCGGCUUAUCAGCUUGUUGGUGGGGUAGUGGCUUACCCAGGCUUUGACGGGUAGCCGGCCUGAGAGGGUGACCGGCCGCCUUGGGCCUGAGAUACGGACCAGACUCCUACGGGAGGCAGCAGGGGGGAAUAUUGCACAACGGGGGGAAGUCUAAGGCAGAGACGCCGCGUGCGGGAAGACGGCUUUCGGGUGGUGAACCGAUUUCGCCUGUGACGAAGCGUGAGUGACGGUAAUGGGUGAAGAAGCACCGGCUAACUACGUG